AUACUUACAUGGUAGGCAAGAUACCAUAAUUAGGAAGGUGGAUCUCUCAAGGCUGAGCUUAUCCAUUGAAUUCUGAUGUGCUGAACCCUGUGAUUGCCCCAAAUGUGGGAAACUCGACUGCAUACUUUGUGGUAGCAUAGGACUGUAUCUGUGCUUUCCCCUG